AGAACGAACGCUGGCGGCAUGCCUAACACAUGCAAGUCGAACGCUCUUGAGGCUUCGGUUUCAAGGGAGUGGCGCACGGGUGAGUAGCGCGUGGGAACCUGCCCUGUUGUGGGGGAUAACCGAGGGAAACUUCGGCUAAUACCGCAUGCGCCCCGGAGCAAUCCGGGGGAAAGAUUUAUCGCAGCAGGAGGGGCCCGCGUCGGAUUAGGUAGUUGGUAGGGUAACGGCCUACCAAGCCUUUGAUCCGUAGCUGGUCUGAGAGGAUGAUCAGCCACACUGAGACUGAGACACGGCCCAGACUCCUACGGGAGGCAGCAGUGGGGAAUAUUGGACAAUGGGCGCAAGCCUGAUCCAGCCAUGCCGCGUGGGUGAUGAAGGCCCUAGGGUUGUAAAGCCCUUUCGGCGGGGAAGAUAAUGACGGUACCCGCAGAAGAAGCCCCGGCUAACUUCGUGCCAGCAGCCGC
rnacentral:rRNA from 1 species